UCAAAGUAUAGUUUAAUUAAAAUGCUAGUUUUGGGGACUAGAGAUGUCUUUAGAAGACUAAUUUGAU
rnacentral:tRNA from 1 species